rnacentral:rRNA from 1 species
AUGGACAUCGACGAGGAGCAUGGUGACGCGGAAACCGCGGAUGCAGCCACCUCUUGGGAAGCACCAAUGGAUAUUAUCCAGCUUCCUGACGAUGAAGACGAGGAUGUGCCUCCGAAAAAUGUUGGGAGGAGAGGCAGAACUUUGAGCAAGAGGGUACCUGGAGCCAGAACGCCUCGCUCGGCAUCUGAACCCGUGGUCCAACAACUCAACGAUCCAGUACGAGCUUCAAUCUCCUUUGCCAAUCCUUUGUCAACUGACCAACCCUCAACGUCGACUGCUCAAGCUCCAGACCCGAUUAUGCAAGUUCAGGCUUCUACUCCACCGGCCACGCCACCUAUUCCAACAUCUCUUAUAUUUGCUACGCAUCACGUCUCGGAGGACCAAGUAGGGGCUGCCAAGGAGGCCAUGAUUCAGGCAGGUCUGAUGAUGGACCGGCUGAAGGUGGUGUAUGACACCAGCAAGGCUGCCUAUGACGCGAGCUCUGCUCUCCAAGCCAAUGCCCGAAAAUCUUGUGAGCUUGGGACUCAAUAUGCUGCUUUGGAACAGGAGAAAAUCCAACUCAAGCUCGACCUGGAUCAGGCCAAGGAGAACUUGAAGAAGGCUUAG